GGACGAACGCUGGCGGCGUGCUUAACACAUGCAAGUCGAACGGUAAGGCCCUUCGGGGUACACGAGUGGCGAACGGGUGAGUAACGCGUGAGUAACCUGCCCUUGACUCUGGGACAACAGAUGGAAACGUCUGCUAAUACCGGAUACUCAGCCUUGUGGGCAUCCACAGGGUUGGAAAGCUCCGGCGGUCAAGGAUGGACUCGCGUCCUAUCAGCUAGUUGGUGGGGUAAUGGCCUACCAAGGCGACGACGGGUAGCCGGCCUGAGAGGGCGACCGGCCACAUUGGGACUGAGAUACGGCCCAGACUCCUACGGGAGGCAGCAGUGGGGAAUAUUGCACAAUGGGCGCAAGCCUGAUGCAGCAACGCCGCGUGCGGGAUGACGGCCUUCGGGUUGUAAACCGCUUUCAGCAGGGACGAAGCGCAAGUGACGGUACCUGCAGAAGAAGCACCGGCUAACUACGCGCCAGCAGCCGCGGUAAUACGUAGGGGGCGAGCGUUGUCCGGAAUGAUUGGGCGUAAAGGGCGCGUAGGCGGCUGUGUAAGUCAGUAGUGGAAGUCCAGCUUUUAAGGUUGGAAGUGCUAUUGAAACUGUGCAGCUUGAGUGCAGGAGAGGUUAUCGGAAUUCCCGGUGUAGCGGUGAAAUGCGUAGAGAUCGGGAGGAACACCAGUGGCGAAGGCGGGUAACUGGACUGCAACUGACGCUGAGGCGCGAAAGUGUGGGGAGCAAACAGGAUUAGAUACCCUGGUAGUCCACACUGUAAACGAUGAAUGCUAGGUGUAGGGGGUAUCGACCCCUUCUGUGCCGGAGUAAACACAAUAAGCAUUCCGCCUGGGGAGUACGGUCGCAAGAUUAAAACUCAAAGGAAUUGACGGGGGCCCGCACAAGCAGCGGAGCAUGUGGUUUAAUUCGAAGCAACGCGAAGAACCUUACCAGGUCUUGACAUCCAGGUAAAGCUGCAGAGAUGCAGUGUGUGCUUGCACAAUCUGAGACAGGUGGUGCAUGGUUGUCGUCAGCUCGUGUCGUGAAAUGUUGGGUUAAGUCCCGCAACGAGCGCAACCCUUGCCGAUAGUUACUAACAGGUGAAGCUGAGGACUCUAUUGGGACCGCCGGGGACAACUCGGAGGAAGGUGGGGACGACGUCAAAUCAUCAUGCCCCUUAUGACCUGGGCUACACACGUGCUACAAUGGCCGAGACAGAGAGCAGCGAGGGCGCAAGCCGGAGCGAAUCUCAAAAAAGCGGUCACAGUUCGGAUUGUGGGCUGCAACCCGCCCACAUGAAGCAGGAGUUGCUAGUAAUCGCGAAUCAGCAUGUCGCGGUGAAUACGUUCCCGGGCCU
rnacentral:rRNA from 1 species